rnacentral:misc_RNA from 1 species
CCGUAAGCAUCGGCGGCGGUGAUGGCUGCCUUGUAGCCCAUCACGGAGUUCUGAGAGGUCAUCUCAUCCAUGGACUGGGCGCUGGAAAGCUUACGGGGCAGCUUUUCGAUGGCGAUGCCCACCAGACCGGCCUUCUCGAGCGCGGCCACGUAAUCG